rnacentral:rRNA from 1 species
GGCUUAGAAGCAGCCACCCUUUAAAGAAAGCGUAAUAGCUCACUAGUCGAGUCGGCCUGCGCGGAAGAUGUAACGGGGCUCAAACCACACACCGAAGCUGCGGGUGUCACGCAAGUGACGCGGUAGAGGAGCGUUCUGUAAGCCUGUGAAGGUGAGUUGAGAAGCUUGCUGGAGGUAUCAGAAGUGCGAAUGCUGACAUGAGUAACGACAAUGGGUGUGAAAAACACCCACGCCGAAAGACCAAGGGUUCCUGCGCAACGUUAAUCGACGCAGGGUUAGUCGGUUCCUAAGGCGAGGCUGAAAAGCGUAGUCGAUGGGAAACAGGUUAAUAUUCCUGUACUUCUGGUUACUGCGAUGGAGGGACGGAGAAGGCUAGGCCAGCUUGGCGUUGGUUGU